ACGUGCCAGCAGCAGCGGUAAUACGUAGGCGCCAAGCGUUAUCCGGAAUUACUGGGCGUAAAGAGUCUGUAGGCGGCGGAUAAAGUCGAGUGUUAAAUUUUCAUGCUCAACGUGAAAAAUGUACUCGAAACUUAUUUGCUUAGAGUCUGAGAGAGGCUACUGGAAUUCCCAUUGAAGGAGUAAAAUCCGUAGAUAAUGGGAGGAACACCAAAAGCGAAGGCAGGUAGCUGGAUCAGGACUGACGCUGAGAGACGAAAGCGUGGGUAGCGAACAGGAUUAGAUACCCUGGUAGUCCACGCCGUAAACGAUGAGUGCUAGGCGUUGGAGAGUCAUUUCGACCCUUUCCAGUGUCUAAAGUUAACACGUUAAGCACUCCGCCUGGGGAGUACGAGCGCAAGCUUAAAACUCAAAGGAAUAGACGGGGGCCCGCACAAGCGGUGGAGCAUGUGGUUUAAUUCGACAAUAAGCGAGGAACCUCACCUGGGCUUGACAUCUCGAGAAUCCUCUGGAAACAGAGGAGUGCCCGCAAGGGAAUUUGAUGACAGGCGCUGCAUGGUUGUCGUCAGCUCGUGCCCUGAGGUGUUCGGUUAAGUCCGUAAACGAGCGCAACCCUUAUCGUAUGUUGUAUUUUUCAUACGAGACUGCCGGUUUUACACCGGAGGAAGGUGGGGAUGACGUCAAAUCAGCAUGGCCUUUAUGUCCAGGGCGACACACGUGCUACAAUGGGGAGUACAAUGGGUAGCCAAGGCGC
rnacentral:rRNA from 1 species